UAGCAGGCAUGCCGCGGUAGGUAAGGGC
rnacentral:piRNA from 1 species